AUCUAACCUGAUAGUGGACAAAAUCAAUGCCCAGGGAGACAAGCAGUCUGAGCUUCCGCAAGGCGCAAAAAUUGAAAAGCAACAUGGACUGCGAUAGGACAAUGAAGAUCGUUCCUCCCAGGAAGAAAUCCUCAGUCUCCCGCUCUAUAAAUACCCCAGCACUUCCUCUUCGCUCUCUCUCUGCCUUCCUGCCUCCUGCUCGCCUCCCUACAAUAAAGAUCUCCUGCUGGACCUCUUGGUGCUUGAGUGGCCUAAUUGGGAAGGGGCACCCGAAGGGGCACGCGACCCCUCUUUCAGGACAGUUGCCAUAUUUUUAGUCCAUGCCUUUUUAAUUAUAAUUUUAUAGCGCAUGCAGUUGUGUAAGAGUCUAACUGAACUAGAGAGACUCCAUGUUGACCAGCAAACGACCUAGAGACUGUUGCUCCCCCCAUCCCUUAUAGGAUAACUAAUGAUUAAUUAUGAAUUGUUAGGUAACUGCUUAGAAGUAGCUGGGAAACUAGUGAACAUAGAGACCCAACAUCAGUCACGCCACUCCUUACUUGCCUGUAGUUGAAUGUUCUGAACAUCACAAACUAAGUUGUAAAUGGAACAAUGGAUAAUCAAUCUGCUGAUCAUUAGUACAUAAUGGUCGAGUAUAUGACUGAUGACCAUCAGUUCAGAUCAACUCAUUCUUUGCCUUUGUCCCCUUCCUGUAAGUUUUGAGUGUAAACCCCCCUCCAUAGCCCUAUAUAAAAUAGCCUCUGUUUCUGAGCUAGCUGCCUCUCUGAGCUGCUUGGCUCUGGGAGUGCCGUCUGGCCAGACUAAUAAAGGUCUAUUUGCCAAUCUGCCUGGUGUGUUCCUGGGUGACUUGCUGUCCGACAAGCUCCUGGAGCCUCGCUGAGCUUUUGGGCCCAACAUCGUGAAGGCCUCUUGGCUGCCAUGCUCCAAGAGUAAAAGUGAGACUUUAAGUCUUACAGUUGCUUUAUUUAGAAUUUUAAGAAUGAAAACAUAGAUUAUCUGGAUCAGAACUCUCCUACAAAGAUUUUACUUCCUACAAGGUAAUGUGCCCAUGCUCAGGCCCCCAAAUAGGAGGAGAGCAAGGUUAGACUAAAGACAGCAAAGGCUCACAGAAAAAGCUUGCAGGCUCUAACCACUAACCUUAAAAGGUAC
rnacentral:lncRNA from 1 species